rnacentral:rRNA from 1 species
UACAGAGGUCCCAAGCGUUGUUCGGAUUCACUGGGCGUAAAGGGUGCGUAGGCGGUCGGGUAAGUCUGGCGUGAAAGCCCCGGGCUCAGCCCGGGAAGUGCGCUCGAAACUGCGCGGCUCGAGUGCCGGAGGGGAGAGUGGAACUUCCUGGUGUAGCGGUGAAAUGCGUAGAUAUCAGGAGGAAUACCGGUGGCGAAAGCGACUCUCUGGACGGCAACUGACGCUGAGGCACGAAAGCGUGGGAGCAAACAGGA